rnacentral:rRNA from 1 species
UACCUACGGGGGGCAGCAGUGAGGAAUAUUGGUCAAUGGGCGUAAGCCUGAACCAGCCAAGUCGCGUGAGGGAUGAAGGUUCUAUGGAUCGUAAACCUCUUUUAUAAGGGAAUAAAGUGCGGGACGUGUCCCGUUUUGUGUGUACCUUAUGAAUAAGGAUCGGCUAACUCCGUGCCAGCAGCCGCGGUAAUACGGAGGAUCCGAGCGUUAUCCGGAUUUAUUGGGUUUAAAGGGUACGUAGGCGGUUUUUUAAGUUAGUGGUUAAACGUCGGGGCUUCACCUUGAUUUGCCAUUAAUACUGUAAA